rnacentral:rRNA from 1 species
GUGCCAGCAGCCGCGGUAACACAGAGGUGGCGAGCGUUGUUCGGAUUUACUGGGCGUAAAGGGUGUGUAGGUGGUUCGGCAAGUCGGAUGUGAAAUCUCACCGCUCAACGGUGAAACUGCAUUCGAAACUGCCGGACUAGAGUACAGGAGAGGAGAGCGGAAUUCUAGGUGUAGCGGUGGAAUGCGUUGAUAUCAGGAAGAACACCGGCGGCGAAGGCGGCUCUCUGGAAUGCUACUGACGCUGAGACACGAAAGCUGGGGGAGCAAACAGGAUUAGAUACCCUGGUAGUCCCAGCCCUAAACGGUGUGCACUUGGUGUGGGGGGAUUUGACCCCCUCCGUGCCGGAGCUAACGCGUUAAGUGCACCGCCUGGGAAGUACGGUCGCAAGGCUAAAACUCAAAGAAAUUGACGGGGGCCCGCACAAGCGGAGGAGCAUGUGGCUCAAUUCGAUGCAACGCGAAGAACCUUACCAGGGCUUGACAUGCAGCUGCACGUCCCAUGAAAGUGGGAAAGCCUUCGAGGGUGCUGCACAGGUGCUGCAUGGCUGUCGUCAGU